AAAGGCAGUUAGGUUAAAUUAUUAAAUUAGUUUGUUUAUGGUUGAAUAAGAUAGGUAAAAUUUAACUAUCAACUGAAAAAUUUACACUAGCUAAAUCUAUGAAUCUGCAAAACCCUUGAGGGAAACUGGGAUUAGAUACCCCAUUAUUCUUGGAAAUAAAAAGAAAAUCUACCAGAGUACUACGAAUAAAAAGUUUAAAACUCAAAGAGCUUGGCGGUGCUUUAGACUUUUCAGGGGAACCUGUCUUAUAAUCGACAAUCCACGUUACACCUGACCCUUUCUUGCAUACAAUUUGUAUACCGUCGUCGUCAGGUAACUUUUAAAAAUUUUAGUAGUUAGCAAGAGAGUUUGCCCAUGAGCUUAAACGUCAGAUCAAGGUGCAGUUAAUGAAAGGGGCAAGAUGGGUUACAAUUAUACAAUAAUAACACGAAAAACUAGUUGAAAGACUACUUUAAAGGAGGACUGAAAGUAAG
rnacentral:rRNA from 1 species